rnacentral:rRNA from 1 species
AUUGAACGCUGGCGGCAGGCCUAACACAUGCAAGUCGAACGAGUGGCGGACGGGUGAGUAAUGUUUGGGAAACUGCCAGAGUGCGGGGGAUAACUACGGGAAAGGGGAGCUCAUACCCCAUACCAAUGUGUGUGCCAAGAUGGGAUUAGCUCGUAGGUGGGGUAAAGGCGCACACAGGCGACGAUCCCUAGCUGGUCUGAGAGGAUGACCAGCCACAUUGGAACUGAGACACGGUCCAGACUCCGACGUGAGGCAGCAGUGGGGAAUAUUGCACAAUGGGCGCAAGCCUGAUGCAGCCAUGCCGCGUGUAUGAAGAAGGCCUUCGGGUUGUAAAGUACUUUCAGCGGGGAGGCGUUACCCGCAGAAGAAGCACCGGCUAACUCCGUGCCAGCAGCCGCGGUAAUAC